UACGUAGGCAGCGAGCGUUGUUCGGAAUUACUGGGCGUAAAGAGUGUGUAGGCGGUGCUCUAAGUUCGGUGUGAAAUCUCCUGGCUCAGCUGGGAGGGUGCGCCGGAAACUGGAGUGCUUGAGCGUGGGAGAGGAAAGCGGAAUUCCUGGUGUAGCGGUGAAAUGCGUAGAUAUCAGGAGGAACACCUGUGGUGUAGACGGCUUUCUGGACCAUAGCUGACGCUGAGACACGAAAGCGUGGGUAGCAAACAGG
rnacentral:rRNA from 1 species